UAGGGAUGAGUUAUAGGGAGGUCAAAUAGAUUAGACAGCACGUUGAUAUGCUUCUGUGUGAUCUAGAAACAGCUUUCUGCUUCCUGUCUAGGAAUAGGGAGUGACUGACAACAAAUGACUCAUGUGUGACGUGCUCCACUCAUACCGUGGGUUGUGAAGUACAGUAUUUGAGGGUGCCUUUCAGAUAGAUACAGUAUAGGCUAAAACUAUUUCUUAAAUGUGUUCUGUUUGAUCUUGUUUUGACAUGUUGUGUAACGUGUGCUCCACUGUGGGUUUGAGAAGUAUUUUCAGUCAGAUAUAAGGAAAAACUCUUUACAAUAGGGUACCAUUCAUAUAGAGUUUAAAGGGUUUAUAACUACAUUAAUGGUUAUUUAAUCAUUUGUAAAUGCAUUAUAAAUCAUGAAUAACAUAAUUAGAAACGCUUUAGAAAGUGUACCUUAUUGCAAAGUAUUAUCAAAAACGUUUCCUAAAUGUAGUACAUUUUUGUGUUGCGUAGCAGUUGAGUUGCAUGUGCUUCACUGAAAGUUUGUUCUUAGGGUACUUUUCAGUCAGAUAUAGGCUACAAAAUUGUAAUAACUUUAAUGAUUAAGCCAUUAUACCUGUUUAUACAUGCUUUAUAAGUUACUUAAUAUAUUAGUUUGUGUCCUUAUGUUGUACGUUUAAUCGUCAUACUCUUGUGACCAUUAAGUCAUGUCUUCACCAUAUUCUGAUCUCCUCCGUUAUUCCCAAAGUAAAUAUCCUCGGACAGCCGAGGCAUUACAUUUUUACACUUGUGAUCCAUAUACAGCCUUAAUGGCUUUUGAAUAUGAGACUUGAGGUCUCCAGUCACAAGAUAUAGCAACAGCCAGGCAUGGACAGUCGAGGGGAGGGUAGUCAGUCUGUCAGAAAUCUAAAACUAGUCUCCGGUAGCGUCCCUGCAGAAGGGGCAUAAUGCCCAAAACAUUGGUGUAAUUAAUACCCAUUAAAUAAUUGGGAUAUACUGUAUAUAGAGUGUGCAACAUUCUUUAUUUCAUUUUCUUUCAUACGUUUACUUUUCUGUUAGUCAGCCAGAUAGACUAGCCAGGGAGGACAGAGCACUGCAGGUAGUCAGAUCACUCAAUCAGUUAGUCAGCCAGAUAGACUAGCCAGGGAAGACAGAGCACUGCAGGUAGUCAGAUCACUCAAUCAGUUAGUCAGCCAGAUAGACUAGCCAGGGAGGACAGAGCAGUGCAGGUAGUCAGAUCACUCAAUCAGUUAGUCAGCCAGCCAGAUAGACUAGCCAGGGAGGACAGAGCACUGCAGGUAGUCAGAUCACUCAAUCAGUUAGUCAGCCAGAUAGACUAGCCAGGGAGGACAGAGCACUGCAGGUUGACAGAUCACUCAAUCAGUUAGUCAGCCAGAUAGACUAGCCAGGGAGGACAGAGCACUGCAGGUAGUCAGAUCACUCAAUCAGUUAGUCAGCCAGAUAGACUAGCCAGGGAGGACAGAGCAGUGCAGGUAGUCAGAUCACUCAAUCAGUUGGUCAGCCAGAUAGACUAGCCAGGGAGGACAGAGCACUGCAGGUAGUCAGAUCACUCAAUCAGUUAGUCAGCCAGAUAGACUAGCCAGGGAGGACAGAGCACUGCAGGUAGUCAGAUCACUCAAUCAGUUAGUCAGCCAGAUAGACUAGCCAGGGAGGACAGAGCAGUGCAGGUAGUCAGAUCACUCAAUCAGUUAGUCAGCCAGCCAGAUAGACUAGCCAGGGAGGACAGAGCACUGCAGGUAGACAGAUCACUCAAUCAGUUAGUCAGCCAGAUAGACUAGCCAGGGAGGACAGAGCACUGCCGGUAGACAGAUCACUCAAUCAGUUAGUCAGCCAGAUAGACUAGCCAGGGAGGACAGAGCACUGCAGGUAGACAGAUCACUCAAUCAGUUAGUCAGCCAGAUAGACUAGCCAGGGAGGACAGAGCACUGCAGGUAGACAGAUCACUCAAUCAGUUAGUCAGCCAGAUAGACUAGCCAGGGAGGACAGAGCACUGCAGGUAGACAGAUCACUCAAUCAGUUAGUCAGCCAGAUAGACUAGCCAGGGAGGACAGAGCACUGCAGGUAGUCAG